AGGCUCUUCCAGUUCUCGCGAGAUGGGCAGACGACUGGGAAGCGGAAAUGAACUUGGGUAGGCGGCACUUCCGGGAGUGGGGCUAAUCGCGGUCGCGGGUGGUCUAGGCGGCAGGCGAGUACUGAGCGACGCUAGUGGCGGAGCUUUCGUGAGGCGGCACAGGUUUAGUUCUAAAGUAAAAACCACAAAAUUGGAGCCGGCCCCGUGGCCAAGUGGUUAAGUUCAUGUGCUCUGCCGCGGCGGCCCAGCGUUUCGCCGGUUCGGAUCCUGAGCGUGGACAUGGCACCGCUCAUCAGGCCACGUUGAGGUGGCAUCCCACAUGCCACAACUAGAAGGACCUGCAACUAAGAAUACACAACUAGAAGGACCAUCUGGAAAAGAAACAUGCUGCCUGCUGUCUGAAAACCUUCCACUGACACCUUCAGGUAGGAGCAAGAAGGUGC
rnacentral:lncRNA from 1 species